GACGAACGCUGGCGGCGUGCUUAACACAUGCAAGUCGAACGGAAAGGCCCUGCUUUUGUGGGGUGCUCGAGUGGCGAACGGGUGAGUAACACGUGAGUAACCUGCCCUUGACUUUGGGAUAACUUCAGGAAACUGGGGCUAAUACCGGAUAGGAGCUCCUGCUGCAUGGUGGGGGUUGGAAAGUUUCGGCGGUUGGGGAUGGACUCGCGGCUUAUCAGCUUGUUGGUGGGGUAGUGGCUUACCAAGGCUUUGACGGGUAGCCGGCCUGAGAGGGUGACCGGCAACAUUGGGACUGAGAUACGGCCCAGACACCUACGGGAGGCAGCAGUGGGGAAUAUUGCACAAUGGGCGGAAGCCUGAUGCAGCAACGCCGCGUGCGGGAUGACGGCCUUCGGGUUGUAAACCGCUUUCGCCUGUGACGAAGCGUGAGUGACGGAAAUGGGUAAAGAAGCACCGGCUAACUACGUG
rnacentral:rRNA from 1 species